GAAAAAUUGAGAGAGUUUGUUUUCUCGAAUCAAAGUUUAAAAAUUUUUAAGUUGCAAAUUGAAGUUGAGGAUGGUAAUAUAAUAAAUAUUUAAGUUGAGGGAUAAUGUGUGAAAUUUAUUUAAAUUUAAGAGAUUUUCAACAUCAACUAAUAUUUAGAAAUGAUAUUAGUACAACACUCUAAAUUAUGGUGGGUUAUUUUAUAGCUUAUUAUAUUUUGAUGGGUAACAUUUUUUUUAUUUACUUACAUAAAUAAAAAUUAUAAUAUAAGUUAUAAAUAUCCAAUACAUGGAUUUUCCCAGCAAAUUUGCCACCUUCA
rnacentral:misc_RNA from 1 species